rnacentral:snRNA from 1 species
GUGAUCACCUCGGCAGCACAUAUACUAAAACUGGAACGAUACAGAAAAGAUUAGCUUGGGCCCUGCACAAGAAUGGCAUGCA